rnacentral:rRNA from 1 species
UGGGGAAUUUUGGACAAUGGGCGCAAGCCUGAACCAGCCAUGCCGCGUGCAGGAUGAAGCAUCUAUGGUGUGUAAACUGCUUUUGUACGGGAAGAAACCACCCCUCGUGAGGGGUAUUGACGGUACCGUAAGAAUAAGGAUCGGCUAACUCCGUGCCAGCAGCCGCGGUAAUACGGAGGAUCCAAGCGUUAUCCGGAAUCAUUGGGUUUAAAGGUCCGUAGGCGGGUCUGUAAGUCAGUGGUGAAAUCUCCCCGCUCAACGGGGAAACUGCCAUUGAUACUGCAGGUCUUGAAUUAUUGGGAAGUAACUAGAAUAUGUAGUGUAGCGGUGAAAUGCUUAGAUAUUACAUGGAAUACCAAUUGCGAAGGCAGGUUACUACUUGUGGAUUGACGCUGAUGGACGAAAGCGUGGGGAGCGAACA